GCCCCGCUAGGCAAAUUGGAAAAGCCGCCUGCCUCAGGUGCAGGUGCUUUGGGGGUUCGACUCCCUCGCGGGGCACCA
rnacentral:tRNA from 1 species